AUUGAACGCUGGCGGCAUGCUUUACACAUGCAAGUCGAACGGUAACAGGCCGCAAGGUGCUGACGAGUGGCGAACGGGUGAGUAAUGCAUCGGAACGUGCCCAGUCGUGGGGGAUAACUACUCGAAAGAGUAGCUAAUACCGCAUACGAUCUAUGGAUGAAAGCGGGGGACCGUAAGGCCUCGCGCGAUUGGAGCGGCCGAUGUCAGAUUAGGUAGUUGGUGGGGUAAAGGCUCACCAAGCCAACGAUCUGUAGCUGGUCUGAGAGGACAACCAGCCACACUGGGACUGAGACACGGCCCAGACUCCUACGGGAGGCAGCAGUGGGGAAUUUUGGACAAUGGGCGCAAGCCUGAUCCAGCAAUGCCGCGUGCAGGAAGAAGGCCUUCGGGUUGUAAACUGCUUUUGUACGGAACGAAACGGCUCUGGUUAAUACCCGAGGCUAAUGACGGUACCGUAAGAAUAAGCACCGGCUAACUACGUG
rnacentral:rRNA from 1 species